rnacentral:rRNA from 15 species
UUAAAUUGAAGAGUUUGAUCAUGGCUCAGAUUGAACGCUGGCGGCAGGCCUAACACAUGCAAGUCGAACGGUAACAGGAAGCAGCUUGCUGCUUUGCUGACG